GGCGAACGGGUGAGUAACACGUGGGUGAUCUGCCUUGCACUUCGGGAUAAGCCUGGGAAACUGGGUCUAAUACCGGAUAGGACCAUGCUUUAGUGUGUGUGGUGGAAAGUUUUCGGUGCAAGAUGAGCCCGCGGCCUAUCAGCUUGUUGGUGGGGUAAUGGCCUACCAAGGCGACGACGGGUAGCCGGCCUGAGAGGGUGUACGGCCACAUUGGGACUGAGACACGGCCCAG
rnacentral:rRNA from 1 species